AUGAAAUGAUAACAUCAUAGAUGCCAUUAAUAUUCUGUAGUCAGCAAGAAUGCCAUAAUCGUCUCUAUGUAGCAUAUCAUCAUAGCACAUUGAAAACAAAGUUCAUCCACUGAUGUAAAAACAUAUAGGCUACCAUAGUGUAUAGGCCUAACUGCAUGAUCCUAGAAACAGAAAUAAGACGCUUGCUGUUUACCUCUCCUUCAAAUAUGAACACGCUGUCAAUGAUAAGAUGAAGAAAAUUCUUCUGUAUCUUAUUUUACUGUCCAGAGAUGACACAUCCCAAAUCAUCCCUGCGUUUUACAGAAGUUGACGCCUCUAGUCCUUUAAAAUACGGUCCGGUUUCCCGGAGGGAUCCGCGAAUUGUUUUCCCUGCUUGUUUUUGCCUUUGGUGGGUUUAACGCUGUUUUCGGAUUACGGCACAUAAUACAUCAAUGGUGUCAGUGAGAAGGAUCACGGUUCACUCACUGCGGUUUGCGGAUUAAAAAAGUCCACCUUGCACCGAGAAGCGCAAGGUGGUUCUCCGUCAGGUCGUCCGCCCUCACGUCUCAUCUCCACGAGGUUUAACCAUCCCGAGCACAACUGAGUCAAGAGAUAAAGGAAGGUGCUGAUUCUCUCUGUUCAGAUCCCUCAUUCAGACUGCGCUUCGUGUCCUAUAUUCUACCGCGUCUGCUCCUCUCUCACUGUGGAUGCUGCGAAUGGCAGACGGUCUGGAUCUGGGCGUGCAGGCAAGAGCAUCACAGCCGCAGCAUCAGCAUCCGCAGGCAGACCAUGUGGGAGCCCAUGUGCCCGAGAAUGCAGAUGCCUCUCACAGGCCGGGAUGGGCUCUGCGAUGGAGAACAGAAACUGCAUGCGGACUGAGCGGGAUGCGACAGACUCGGAGAGCGACUUGUUUUGGUUAACAGUCGGAUAUGGAGAGAGACAUGUUGAGAGAGGAUGCGAUAUUCAUACUAUUGUAUUUUUAGCUGAUAGUGACUGUAGCCCUGAUAAUAUAUUUUGAUAAAGUUACUACUAAUAAUCAUAAUAAGGUGUAUAUAUAUGAUAAUAUUUGAGUUUUCUAAUUUGUCUUGCUUAUUUAAAUUUCUAAUUGAGUUGGUGAUCGGUGGUCAUUGUUUUCUGGUGUGGGAGACCAACCGCCAAUCCAGCUUCACUAUCAGUUAGAGGGGCGUGGCCUAAACGGAGGUAUGGUGGUGAAAUAGGUGACAGCAACAGCUGUUGAGCUGCGUCAAAGUCAUGGUGGGACGUCAAAGGGUUGACCAAUAGUUAUGCCUGUAGGAUCUACAUCUGGAAAGCCGGAUGAGCCACAUUGGAGCUCCUGUGAGUCAGGAGACGACAACCAAGGAAGCUGAGCUGGUUCCCGAGGCUGCUGCUACAGACCUGCUGUUUCUUAUUCCGUCAGACAAUCCUUCCCGCUAUUCACUUCCCUUUCCCAACACAUCUGGGAAAUCUUCGUGCCACUUACCAGAGUUGACAUUCUCCUGAGACGACCUGAGCAACAUGGUACAGAAGUUAACAGCCCAUCCAGAAGAGUUUAAACUGUAUUUCCAACACGGUUAGUUUGAUCAGCCGACAGGUGGAGAGAGCAGUCCAGUGCCUCCCUGUGUAUGUGACUCAUUUGUCAGAGCUUUUGUCGAUGUGUUAUUCUACUCCAUGUGCCUCUGGUUGUGAGGUGGAGCUCCAUGGGGAGUUAAUAUAGGCCAGACUGGAGAGAGGAGGAGACUGCUCUGUGUAUGGCUUGGCCUGUCAGUGUCAGAUUUUCCACUAUGAAAGUCCGUUGCCACCACCUGUCUCUCUCUGUGUCUCUCUCGUUUAGUCCUACUUUCUUACUCUUUUCUCUUUCCCAUUUUUUCUUUUUUUCAGAUCUUCUCCUAAAUGUCAUGUCUUCAUGUUUUGUUCCAGACUAAGCAGAAACUAAACAAAUCUGUUGUGGCCUGCACUGAAAUGUAUUCCUCUUUCUAGGUCCUGAAGACGAGGUGCAGAACGGAUCGAGAGCGGGCAUGAGUUCUUGCACUCAUGACUUCAGUGGCCGUUUGACCCUCACCGGCGCUGUGUUAUCCACACACACUGUGCUCAUGUCAGAUACCACGCAACUCAGGUAUUUCACAGCGUUGUGAAAGAGGCCACAGAGAAAGCGUUUGGUACACAUUCCCCACUGUGAUUGUGUCUCCAGUGCAAGGGGCAAGGUUUACAUAAUGCCAACCUUUUGUAUGGUGAUAGGUGAUAAGUUCAAUGCUCAGAUAGUUAAUUUCUAUUGCCCUACUCAUGGAUGAUUUCUUAAUUUCCAAACCUGUAUGGUCUGCUUUAGAGAAAGCCUCCUCCGCAUAUCCAUUAACUCGGAGAGAACUGGCUGUCCCAUUUCACGGCUUUCAGUUCAGGAUUUUUCUCUCUUUCUGCGUCAGCACCGAGAAUGUCCACACAACGCUGCUCCAAGGUAAAGACAAGGUUAGAGGUCAAAUAAUCUACACACACCCCUCCAUCACAAUCCGGUCCUGAUUGAAUCUCAUUCUGCUGUUUGAAUUAUUUACUCCGGGGGCAUAGUGUUAGUGGGACAUGAUUACGUAACGCACAAUAGUGCCCCCGUCUGGCCUGGGAUUGACCCUUUUUUUCCUCUUUCCAGGGUGAUAGUACAGGUUGAUGGCUUUGUCUCAGAUCUGAGAUAAGGCCAGCAGCACAGAGUUCAAAGCAGCACAGAGUUCAAUAGAUGACUAUUGAACAUAAGCAAAGACCACUUUACAACAGCAGCUGUUUUCUUUCUCCUGAAUCAUCAUUGGGAAAGGUCAUGUUCAAAAAGCCUCUUCGUACGGCAAACAAGUAGAUCAGAAUUCAAUGUUUUGGCAGAUUUUGAAGCAUUUCAUUUAAUAGCAUUCUCAUUCAGGCCUUCAGCAGCCCCUUGAGGACCGAGACCAUCUCCAGACGGCCGGCACUCCGCCUUUGGUUCCUGCGAGUCAGCAAAAUGACCAACUUUGCAGUGCCAGACAAAGAAUUCACCAAAAUGUGUUCAGUAUUUUGGCCCAAAAAUAAAAAAUAAAAAACAAACGAUGUCCUCUCACAAACUGCGAUUGAGCAUCCUCAGGUUUCCAAGGCCCUGUUUAUUUGUGUGUGUGUGUGUAUGAGGCAUGCUCUAUAUGCCUCCUCGACCUCAGACGAAUACGACAAAAAAUGUCGGGAAUUUCUGAAAUGACUUUGUGAUCUGGCAGGGACAUUGUGGGUAUUGUGCGUUGUGUGUUGGAUGUGAUUAAAUCUGUUUGUGUGGGGUAAGAGAUAAAAGUGGGUGUUUGGUGGUGAUGUAAGAGGAUCAGAAGCUUUGAAGUCUGGAGGUUUCUUAACAAGACUAACACGAAAACCUUUCACCUGUAGGUGCUCACGGUUCCGAUAACACAUAUGUUAUCAAAGUCACCUGCCCUGUUUCCCAUAAUUAAUCUGGUGUAAAUUUAGAUGGAGCCUUAAUAAAUCCAGUCAAGCUUGCCCUCACACAUUUAAACAUCUGCAGGUAUAAUCUUCGGUGCCUCUGACUCACUAUUCUUUAAAUGCAGCAGACUUAUGCAUUGUGGCAAAAAAAACUCCAUCCCAUCUAGCAUCUCUGACAGGUAUGACCAAUACACAAGAGUAACUUCAAUUGAUUUUAUUAGGAGUUUAAAAAGGAUUGAAAUAAAACCUGCAGACAGCCUACAAUAGACCAAGGUUAAUUUCAACAAAGACAUGUCUACGGUCCCAUGGUAAUUCACUUCCAAACGUUUGAUGACUCACUUGAGUGGAAACUUUUUCUUUUUUUUUCCAGUAAAACCAUAAAGAUGAAAAACAAGGUCAAAGUCAGAAGUUGUGGUGAUUUGUUAGUCGUGAUGGAAAGUCUGAGGACGCUCAAUGUCUGAAAGAGACCAUAAAACUCUGACCGAUUAAUAGAUAACAGUUGCUAUUUAAAAUGCUGUGUAUAAUGUCUACUAUCUAGAUGUGUGGUUAUGUGGCAGCAGCACCUCUGUCCUCUCACACUACCGUCUAAAAGGUCUUAUUACUCAUAAUAUUUAGUUAUAAAAUAACACCAAGGAUCUGUGUCAUUGUCAGCGCUCUGCUCUGUGAACUUAUUUCAUAGCUUUUACGGUUGUCUCUGUUUUGUGCAUUCUCCUGCAUUAAUGAUCUACAUGUGUGCUGUGUCA